CCUACGGGCGGCAGCAGUGAGGAAUAUUGGUCAAUGGUCGGGAGACUGAACCAGCCAAGCCGCGUGAGGGAUGAAGGUACAGAGUAUCGUAAACCUCUUUUGUCAGGGAACAAAGGCGGGGACGUGUCCCCGGAUGAGUGUACCUGAAGAAAAAGCAUCGGCUAACUCCGUGCCAGCAGCCGCGGUAAUAGGGAGGAUGCGAGCGUUAUCCGGUUUUAUGGGGGUUAAAGGGUGCGCAGGCGGUCGUUUAAGUCAGCGGUAAAAGCCCGGGGCCCAACCCCGGACCGCCGUUGAAACUGGCAGUCUCGAGUUGGAGAGAAGUAUGCGGAAUGCGCGGUGUAGCGGUGAAAUGCAUAGAUAUCGCGCAGAACUCCGAUUGCGAAGGCAGCAUGCCGGCUCCACACUGACGCUGAGGCACGAAAGCGUGGGUAUCGAACAGGAUUAGAUACCCGAGUAGUC
rnacentral:rRNA from 1 species